UUUUUAGUGUCAUAAUCUUUUUUUGUUUUCUGUUUUUAUACUAGAAAACUUUUCACAAUAUUUUUUUUUACUUAUUUGUAUUUGAAAAAAGAAACUUUGGGAUUGCUGAAUAAAAAACGAGACGAAAUAAAAGAGCAACGGAAUUAUCAUAGUUAUAAAAUAUUUAUUAUCAAACAAAAAAGAAAGGUGGUUAUUAGAUUAUUUACCGAAUCUGGGUUUGAUAGACCCGGUAUAUUUUAUAUUUUUUCCACGGACAAAAUAGAUUUCAUAUUUAUAAUAAAGUCGUAUGCUAUCUAAAAAAAAUAUUAGAACUAAAU
rnacentral:lncRNA from 1 species